rnacentral:lncRNA from 1 species
AUGCGCCCAGAAGUGACCACAGCCUCCGAACAGGACACAUCCGCAGCCAGAGUCAUCAGGAUUUGGAAACCAUUUUCCCAAAUCCAAGCUCCAACCCGCUGGGGUCUGUCACACGGAAGACACCUGAUGAGAGUUGCAGUGAUGACUGACCGUGGCAGUGUUUCUGUAGCUCAGAAGAGGGAAAUCGUACUUCAGGUGGAAACGGGAAAGGAGAUCAGCAAAGACUUUCAGGAAAAGCCCCAUGCUAUCCUGGGAAACAGCAGCUUUCCAGUGCUAGAAGGCAGACUGAGCUUGCAGCUCUUCAUAAAAUCCCACACUGGAGGGCAUUGUUUCUGAGAAUCUGUCUCAGGGCUUGGUACAGCCUUGGUCAUGGUUCACAGGACCUGCCUGCAGCUUGUGCACUCAGGAGUUUUUCUGAUGAUGGAUGCUGGAAAGAGAAAACAAUGCCCCAGAGCAGCUCAACAGACUUAAAG